UUGCCAUCAUUCAGUUGGGCACUUUAGAGAGACUGCCGGUGUUAAGCCGGAGGAAGGUGGGGGAUGACGUCAAGUCCUCAUGGCCUUUAUGUCUAGGGCUACACACGUGCUACAAUGGUUGGUACAACGAGUUGCGAGUCGGUGACGGCGAGCUAAUCUCUUAAAGCCAAUCUCAGUUCGGAUUGUAGGCUGCAACUCGCCUACAUGAAGUCGGAAUCGCUAGUAAUCGCGGAUCAGCACGCCGCGGUGAAUACGUUCCCGGGCCUU
rnacentral:rRNA from 1 species